GAUGAACGCUGGCGGCGUGCUUAACACAUGCAAGUCGAACGAAGCACUUUAUUUGAUUUCCUUCGGGACUGAUUAUUUUUUGACUGAGUGGCGGACGGGUGAGUAACGCGUGGGUAACCUGCCUUGUACAGGGGGAUAACAGUUGGAAACGGCUGCUAAUACCGCCUAAGCGCCCAGCAUCUCAUGAUGCAGUGUGAAAAACUCCUGUGGGAUAAGGUGGACCCGCGUUGGAUUAGCUAGUUGGUGCGGUAACGGCCCACAAAGGCGAAGAGCCAUAGCCGACCUGAGAGGGAGACCGGCCACAUUGGGACUGGGACACGGUCAAAACUCCUACGGGAGGCAGGAGUGGGGAAUAUUGCACAAUGGGAGAAAGCCUGAUGCAGAGACGCAGCGUGAGCGAAGAAGUAUUUCGGUAUGUAAUGGGAUAUAAGCAGGGAAGAGAAUGAAGGUACCGGACUAAGAAGAACAGGAUAAAUAUGUG
rnacentral:rRNA from 1 species